rnacentral:lncRNA from 1 species
CCCCGGCGCCUGGCUACUUCCUGGACUCUGCUGGGAUGGGUUCAAAGUAGAGAAAGUGGAAGAGGGAAGAGUUACCCGGGUGCGGGAGGGGAACCGGGCCGCAGACUCUUCAGGCUCGGGGAGGGAUAGUGAGCAGGGGCCUGGCUGGACGGAGGGCCAGAUUCCGGGAACAGAGGAGCACAAUCGGGGGCGUACUGAAGUGUAGACGUGGGCGGGGGCGCCGAGGGACAAACAUAGGGAGGGGCAUUGAGGGGGUACCUGACGAGGAUAGAGGUUCUGUCAUGAGAACGUAAAAACCGCAGGACCAGGGCCAGAGGACCCGCAGACCGAUGGGAGAUAGGGUGGAUGAAACAGCACAGAAAGCCAGGCAUGGCGGGAAAGACUGAGGGACAAGCCGGUACAGAUACGUGGAAAGACGUGCAGAGGAGAUGAUGGGGGUCUGAUGGCGGGUAUUGCAAGGGCUGAGGACAAAGGUGGAGCCAACUACUAUCGGCACCCAGCGUGGACCACCAUGGGCCCACAGUACAUAUGUCGGCAGGAGCUGGCAGGAGAUCAGAUGCUACUUCAAUUCCAAGUGGCUCAUGAACAAAAGCUGUGAAGUUGCUAAGAAACCUGCUUCUCUGAGGGUUCACCAGGUUUUCCUUUGUUUCUAUGGCAGUGUGUGUGUGUGUGUGUAUGCGUGCGUGCAUGCACACCAAGGGUCGUCACCCUGCCAGCUCUGAAGCAAGUCAGAUUGGAAGGUAAGGAUUGCAGACUUCCCUGGGGCACCUUCAUGGGCCCGAGGAUCACCAAGCCAGGCAGCCCAGGCACUGAGGGUGAACAGAGGAAACGGAUGCCCGUGGCCAGAGGUUAGCAGAGCUGUAAGCAGCUGCAGGAAGGGAGCUCUGGAUACUGAAUCCUGGACCCACUUCAGCAAUAGCCCAGAAGCCGUAGGGUGGGAGACACCAACAGAACUGAAAGGGGGCCCCACUCCUAUCCCCUAGGUUAGCUUGGAAAAUAAAUCCCUAGCAACCUCAGGUCUACUACA